rnacentral:rRNA from 1 species
AACAAACGCUGGCGGCGUGCCUAACACAUGCAAGUCGGACGCGAAAGGGCUUUCGAGCCUGAGUAAAGUGGCGCACGGGUGAGUAACGCGUGGGUAAUCUGCCUCUAAGUUGGGAAUAACUCGCCGAAAGGUGGGCUAAUACCGAAUAAUGCUGUAUGACUGCGGUUGUGCAGCCAAAGAUGGCCUCUGCUUGCAUGCUAUCGCUGAGAGAUGAGCCCGCGUACCAUUAGCUAGUUGGUCGGGUAAUGGCCUACCAAGGCUACGAUGGUUAGCUGAUCGGAGAGGAGGAUCGGCCACACUGGAACUGGGACACGGUCCAGACUCCUACGGGAGGCAGCAGUGAGGAAUCUUGCGCAAUGGGGGAAACCCUGACGCAGCAACGCCGCGUGAGUGAGGAAGGCCUUCGGGCCGUAAAGCUCUGUCGGGUGGAAAGAAACGUACGAAUGUUAAUAGCAUUUGUGCUUGACGGUACUGCCAAAGGAAGCACCGGCUAACUCCGUGCCAGCCGCCGCCGUAAUAC